rnacentral:rRNA from 1 species
GACGAACGCUGGCGGCGUGCUUAACACAUGCAAGUCGAACGAGGUCCAUGCAGUGGCAACACUGCGGAAGACCUAGUGGCGAACGGGUGAGUAACACGUGAGAAACCUGUCCCGGUCUCUGGGAUAACAGUCGGAAACAACUGCUAAUACCGGAUGACGUCGGAGCAUCGCAUGGUGCGCUGACGAAAGGGUUACUGGAUCGGGAGGGUCUCGCGGCCUAUCAGCUUGUUGGUGGGGUAACGGCCUACCAAGGCAUCGACGGGUAGCUGGUCUGAGAGGAUGAUCAGCCACACUGGGACUGAGACACGGCCCAGACUCCUACGGGAGGCAGCAGUGGGGAAUCUUGCGCAAUGGGCGAAAGCCUGACGCAGCAACGCCGCGUGCGGGAUGAAGGCCUUCGGGUUGUAAACCGCUUUCAGAGGGAACGAAACUGACGGUACUUUCAGAAGAAGGUGCGGCCAACUACGUGCCAGCCGCCGCGGUAA